AUGUCCCCGUUACUGACCGCGGUCGCUGUCUCCCAUCCCCGUGUCCCCGGGGGGGGUCCCGGCCUCGGCCCCCCCCACCCUCAGGGCCCCACCGCCUCCAACGCCCCACAAUGCACCGCGACGCCCCCCCCAACACCGGAAAUAACCCCCCUAAAUAGGAAGCGGAAGUACCCGCAGUCAAGAUGGCGGAGGGGACUUCAAAGCUUAUUUCCGCUUCCGGUGUUGGAUCCGGAAAUGCCCGGCGUCAAGAUGGCGGCGGGGGCCUACAAAGCUUAUUUCCGCUUCCGGUAUUGCGGCCUCCCAAUAGGAACCGGAAAUGCCCGUCUUCAAGAUGGCGGCGAGGCCUUCAAACCUUAUUUCCGGUGUUUUGGGGGGGGGGGCAAAUCUCGCGAGAGACCGGAAGGGGCGUGGCCUCGGUGCCACGUCGGGGUUGGAGCCGAGGAGCGCUUCAAUGGCGACGGUCCUCCAGCCCCGGGAACCAGCGGCCUCCAACAUGGCCGCCAUCAUGGCCGCCACUCUGGCUCUCUGCCUCCUCCCUUCCGCCUCUCACGGGGACCGCCAUCACCAGGAGGACUUCCGCCAUCACCGGGAGGACUUCCGCCAUCACCGGGAGGACUUCGGCCAUCACCGGGAGGACCUCGGCCAUCACCGGGAGGACCUCGGCCAUGGUCAGCACCAGCUCCAUGUGGACAGCGGCCACGGCCACACCUUGACGGCCAUGUUUAGUCGUGGGCACCAACACGAAGACCCCCAGCAUGGACACUCACAUGGGGACCCCCACCAUCAACAUGGGGACCCCCAUAGGGACCCCCACCACAGCCAUGGGGACCCCCAUAGGGACCCCCACUAUGGCCAUGGGGACCCCCACCAUGGCCAUCAACAUGGGGACCCCCAUACGGACCCCCAUAGGGACCCCCACCAUCAUCAUGGGGACCCCCACCAUGGCCAUCAACAUGGGGACCCCCAUACGGACCCCCAUUAUGGCCAUGGGGACCCCCAUA
rnacentral:lncRNA from 1 species